UAUUAGUCGUACAGUGAAUUAUUUUUUUCAUGUGUUGAAGAGUUUAGCAGAGUUAUGCUUGACCCCAGAAUAUAAAGCCAUAUGAGAUAUUUGAUUGUACCAGUCCAAAAUAUAGUAGUUUCAGGACUGUGUUAUGGAGGUUUUUUAUAAAAAAACAAUACAAACUCAGUUUGUAUGAUAUAGAUACUGCCUAUGUGGUUAUUCCACAUUAACUUUUGUGAAUAGAGUUCUGUGAAUAGAGGAGAAAAAUCAUAGGUACCAGGAGAGGACCAUGAGCUGAUAAUUCAUUUUCAAUUUCAACUGUUCGAUUCAAUACAAUCCAAAAGUAUUCCUCUUAAAGCAAUACAAUACAAGAUUCCAAGUAAAUACUAUAUUCAGGUGUCAAACCAUUUGGUUUGGAGUGAUUUCUUGAUUAUUUUGUGAAUUAAAAUGUAAAAUGACCUGCACCUUAUGUUCUAGACCUACCUUACAGUAUCUCUUAGAUAUUUUGAAUGAGAUUUAAUAAUAAACUUACCGUAUGAGGUUCUGCUUCAGUAGAAGGUGAAUUUCUCCAGUGUUCCUUGAACCAUUUGAACAGAGAAUCGACAGAGUUGAAUGUAUCAUACCUGUAUUUGAAUUCCUCAGGAGUUACCGUUAUAUAUUCGUGAAAUAUGUUGUUCCCCGGGAGGGAUGUAUUUCCUUCUCCUUCUUUAAGUACUCCCCAGCUUUAUCCUUGCACCCACCAAAAUCUGUGACUCACAGCCAGCAUAAUCAGGGAAAUUACUGGGACAGGAUGCUGUUCCAGCCUCCGGAGUCUCCGAGGAGUUCUGUCAGUAAUAAUAGAGUUCUUCAUCCUGAUAAUGCAAGAUUUGGGUCAGGAGGAAGCGAGUCGAUGAACUGGCAGAAGGCGACUGAAGUUUGGGCUGCAAAUCCCAGAUCCACACUGAGAAGGGAGGGUCGAAAUAGCCCAAUAUCUAUGGAUCAGAGGACUCCUCGUACAAACGUCCCUCAACCCAUGUCAUUGGGUGAUGCCACUCCGCUGAGUGAUGGAAGCAUAUGAAAAUUUUAUGUUAGUUUAUGACAAACAAAUUAUGUGAAAUAUUUUAAAUGGAUUAUUUUCAAUAAUAUUUGU